CUUCUGCCUCAUUGCUCUUC
rnacentral:snRNA from 1 species